rnacentral:rRNA from 1 species
CGUAGGGUGCGAGCGUUAAUCGGAAUUACUGGGCGUAAAGCGUGCGCAGGCGGUUAUAUAAGACAGAUGUGAAAUCCCCGGGCUCAACCUGGGAACUGCAUUUGUGACUGUAUAGCUAGAGUACGGCAGAGGGGGAUGGAAUUCCGCGUGUAGCAGUGAAAUGCGUAGAUAUGCGGAGGAACACCGAUGGCGAAGGCAAUCCCCUGGGCCUGUACUGACGCUCAUGCACGAAAGCGUGGGGAGCAAACAGGAUUAGAUACCCUGGUAGUCCACGCCCUAAACGAUGUCAACUGGUUGUUGGGUCUUCACUGACUCAGUAACGAAGCUAACGCGUGAAGUUGACCGCCGGGGGAGUACGGCCGCAAGGUUG